GCCUACGGGAGGCAGCAGUGGGGAAUAUUGCACAAUGGGGGAAACCCUGAUGCAGCGACGCCGCGUGAGUGAAGAAGUAUUUCGGUAUGUAAAGCUCUAUCAGCAGGAACGAGACAAGACGGUACCUGACUAAGAAGCCCCGGCUAACUACGUGCCAGCAGCCGCGGUAAUACGUAGGGGGCAAGCGUUAUCCGGAUUUACUGGGUGUAAAGGGAGCGUAGACGGUGCAGCAAGUCUGAUGUGAAAGGUCGGGGCCCAACCCCGGGACUGCAUUGGAAACUGUUGAACUGGAGUACAGGAGAGGG
rnacentral:rRNA from 1 species